AUUGAACGCUGGCGGCAUGCUUUACACAUGCAAGUCGAACGGUAACAGGCCUUCGGGUACUGACGAGUGGCGAACGGGUGAGUAAUGCAUCGGAACGUACCCAGAGGUGGGGGAUAACGCAGCGAAAGCUGUGCUAAUACCGCAUGUGAUCUGAGGAUGAAAGCGGGGGACCGAGCAGCAAUGUUUGGCCUCGCGCCUUUGGAGCGGCCGAUGUCGGAUUAGCUAGUUGGUGGGGUAAAGGCCUACCAAGGCGACGAUCCGUAGCUGGUCUGAGAGGACGAACAGCCACACUGGGACUGAGACACGGCCCAGACUCCUACGGGAGGCAGCAGUGGGGAAUUUUGGACAAUGGGCGCAAGCCUGAUCCAGCAAUGCCGCGUGCGGGAAGAAGGCCUUCGGGUUGUAAACCGCUUUUGGCAGGAACGAAACGGUGUCCGCUAAUACCGGGCGCUAAUGACGGUACCUGCAGAAUAAGCACCGGCUAACUACGUG
rnacentral:rRNA from 1 species